rnacentral:rRNA from 1 species
UACGUAGGGGGCAAGCGUUGUUCGGAACUACUGGGCGUAAAGGGCGCGUAGGCGGCACGGCAAGUCAGGAGUGAAAGGCCUGGGCUCAACCGAGGAACUGCUUUUGAGACUGCCGAGCUAGAGUGCGGAAGGGGCAACUGGAAUUCCCAGUGUAGCGGUGAAAUGCGUAGAUAUUGGGAAGAACACCUGAGGCGAAGGCGGGUUGCUGGGCCGACACUGACGCUGAGGCGCGAAAGCCAGGGGAGCAAACGGG